AGCACCUGCAACCUAUAAAAAGGAUUAUAUCUAGAGACCCUAUCCUCUAAAAUUUUUUCCGCACCCAAAACAAAAAAUCUCUGGGUCAAAAGUCUACAACGCUUAGGCUGGCAAUCACCAGAUCCUUGCCCAUGGUGUCCUCAAGUCUACUCUUACAGAAAUGGACAACA
rnacentral:sRNA from 1 species